rnacentral:rRNA from 1 species
CCUACGGGAGGCAGCAGUGGGGGAUAUUGCACAAUGGGGGAAACCCUGAUGCAGCGACGCCGCGUGAGCGAUGAAGUAUUUCGAUAUGUAAAGCUCUAUCAGCAGGGAAGAAAAUGACGGUACCUGACUAAGAAGCCCCGGCUAACAACGUGCCAGCAGCCGCGGUAAUACGUAGGGGGCAAGCGUUAUCCGGAUUUAGUGGGUGAAAAGGGAGCGUAGACGGCUGUGCAAGUCUGAAGUGAAAGGCAAGGGCUCAACCCUGGGACGGCUUUGAAAACUGUGCUGCUGAGGUGUCGGGGGGGCAAGUGGAAUUCCUGGUGUGGGGGUGAAAGGGGUAGAUAUUAGAAGGAACACAAGGGGCGAAGGCGGCUUGCUGGACGAUAACUGACGUGGGGGCUCAAAGGCGUGGGGAGCAAACGGAAUUGGAUACCCCGGUGUC